CUAUUGUAUUGGCUAGCGCUACUCAAUGGUGUGGGUUAAUCACCUCUCAUGAUUGCGAGAUAGGCGCCUCGAACUGAAAGUUUAAUUAACUAGCGCCAUAGUCACACUAGGCAUCCGAAUGAUGUUAGUGAGACCCUCAGUGCAUCUAGAUCCGAUGCCUGAGUUUCCAUUUUCGCGUAGUAGCCGUUGGAAUGUGAAAAUUACAGAUUCUGUGGGUCAUUAAUUCAAUGUCCUUGAGAAAUACUUGGCGUAUCGCCUCGCGAUUUUCGACACAUUAGCGACCCUUCUCAUUCUCCAAGCGAAAUUGAUUCAUUUUUAUAUUGUGUUUGGCGUGUGUGGUUAUGUUCUCGUUUGGUGUAAGUGAAUAGUGUAAAGUCAUGAGAAGGGCUUUGUUUUGGGAAUGCACAUCGAUCAGAACGAAAGAUUUCACGAAUCGGAGCUGAAUCUCAACCAUUCCUGUAGAAAACUGAGUUCAUCUCGAAUUACUGGAACUAUUGCAGCUAGCUUCGAGGUCUUAUCCCGAUUCAUUACUGCAAAUAAUUUUAAGCACUGUUUCUGUUUACAUGUACCUCUACUAAAUUCUUUUUUUUCGGAUCUUUUUUUUCUUAUUCUACAGGUUGGCAGACGUCUACAGUUUUAGUUUUAGGAAGCUGUCGCCAAGACUUCCUCUUAGUGUCCAGUCAUCCGAUCUGGGACCAUAGCUGUCCUUCGAUGUCGCUCGACGCUCUUUCGUUGGUGGCUGUAGUUUAGCAUGUUAUUGGACAACCGAGCGGAGGAUUUGCUUAUCUGGUACAGGAGUCUGCGACGGCUACUCACUCUUAGUACUUUCACUGUGGAAAGCCAUAGCUGUUUUUAUCAUGAUUUAGAAACACGUGAUAUGGUCUAUUACGAUUUCGAGGAUGCAGAAUUAAAAGGAGUUAUAAAGUCUAAAUAAGUGUACAAAGAACCCGCUGAUUGAACUGUACUAUUGACCCAGCACAUUUCCCGGGUGUCGACGGACCAGCAAAUCUACUUUUCUGUAAAGGGCCUUUAUAUCUACUGUCGAACAACUUUCCUUUCCGCCGAACUUCCAGCAAGAACCCGCUCCAACCUCAUAGCACUGUGGACACGACGAGCUGCUGAAAUCCGCGAAAAUAAAUUGUGGCGGAGGUAUCAAAGGAAUCCCACCGGUUGGGCGCCACUGUAACUAGAUUCUUCGGUCUGAGCACCCUUAGUGGAUGUGGCGGUAUUUAAAGGGACAAUUACCUUAAGUACGAGGACUCACGUGGGCUCCUCUCCCAUUGACUGCAGCUGGUGGUGUCGGUAGAGCAAUGAGGUUAGGGCAGGUCUGCAACAAAAUGGAGGGAGAGAAGCCGGUGAAUCUACAUUCACUCAAUAAACACUUAGUGCGGUACAUCCAAUUGCUCUUCUCACUCGUGGAGAAGACGCUGAUUCGGAUUGCAGCCGGUAUCAGACUCACCUCCUCCGACCACUCUCGUCGGCACAGGACUCGUCGUGAUGGAUGCUACCUUUGACUCGUGGUUCACCGCCGACUCCUUGGAGGUUAUCCACGGCUUCUGCCCACGUUCACUUCCCAGUGGCUGGCUCGACUGCUGCGGUCAACGGGCGGAUUCCGGUAAACCCUCUGGUUUUAUCGAACACACUUGUAGCACACGCGGAAAGCUAAACUCAAUAAAAAAACGGACUUAGUUUCCAGGCACAUAAACCGGUGUUGACUCGCUCACAGCUCACUCAUGAAGAACCUAAAGAAAUCCUUUGCAGCGG